rnacentral:tRNA from 1 species
GGUGCGAUGGCCGAGUGGCUAGGCAGAGGUCUGCAAAACCUCGUACAGCGGUUCGAAUCCGCUUCGCACCU